CGGUCGGCAGUUCACCCAGGCGUCGCCAGCCCUUCAAGGGGCCGCUAAACCUGCCU
rfam:Alpha proteobacterium AAP38 AAP38_Contigs_8, whole genome shotgun sequence.